rnacentral:rRNA from 1 species
CCUACGGGAGGCAGCAGUGGGGAAUUGUUCGCAAUGGGCGCAAGCCUGACGACGCAACGCCGCGUGGAGGAUGAAGACCUUCGGGUCGUAAACUCCUUUCGAUCGAGACGAAUGUUUUCCGGGUGAACAAUCCGGAAAAGUGACGGUACCGAGAGAAGAAGCCCCGGCUAACUCUGUGCCAGCAGCCGCGGUAAUACAGGGGGGGCAAGCGUUGUUCGGAAUUACUGGGCGUAAAGGGCUUGUAGGUGGCCAACUAAGUCAGACGUGAAAUCCCUCAGCUUAACUGGGGAACUGCGUCUGAUACUGGAUGGCUUGAGUUUGGGAGAGGGAUGCGGAAUUCCAGGUGUAGCGGUGAAAUGCGUAGAUAUCUGGAGGAACACCGGUGGCGAAGGCGGCAUCCUGGACCAACACUGACACUGAGGAGCGAAAGCCAGGGGAGCAAACGGGAUUAGAUACCCCGGUAGUCCUGGCCCUAAACGAUGAAUGCUUGGUGUGGCGGGUAUCGAUCCCUGCCGUGCCGAAGCUAACGCAUUAAGCNUCGCGNGGAGUACGGUCGCGAGCGNGAACGACGAAGAAGUUAGACGGCGUGAGACGUGCCGACGGACGACGACGAGGGAGGUUAGG